rnacentral:rRNA from 1 species
AUUCCAGCUCCAAUAGCGUAUAUUAAUGUUGUUGCAGUUAAAAAGCUCGUAGUUGGAUUUCUGGUCGGAACGCCGGUCCGGCUCCGCAAGGGGUCGUGUAUUGGUUUCUCCUGCCAUCCUCAGGGGGAGCUGCGCUGGUAUUCAUUUAUCGGCGUGGUUACGCCUGUCGUUUACUGUGAACAAAUUAGAGUGUUCAAAGCAAGGUGUACUUGAAUACAUUAGCAUGGAAUAAUAAGAUAGGACUUUGGUGGUUCUUUUUGAUAUUUUGUUGGUUUGCACGCCAAAGUAAUGAUUAAUAGGAGCAGUUGGGGGUAUUCGUAUUCAAUUGUCAGAGGUGAAAUUCUUGGAUUUAUAGAAGACGAACUACUGCGAAAGCAUUUACCAAGGAUGUUUUCAUCA